AAGCGACUGUAGGUUAGUGAGCACUGUCGUUGGGGAUCCUGUGAGUCUGUCUGAUUUAGCAGUUGAAUCCAACUUGACUGCCACUGUUAAAGGUCUCCCUCCAGGUGCUGGGGUUACCGCGACCAAGACGAAUGCAGACUCCGUUUCCCUGAGGCUUCAACUCCUGGAAGACAGCCACGUGGAGGAGGCUACAGCUGCCUUCAGACAUCGAAGAGGGGAACCCCCAGAAGCCCAAGGGUGCGGUCUGUGGUCAGGGCAGCGAAUGGCCCCCGGGAGGCUGCACUCUGGGCUCUGGUCCUGGCGGCAUGAUCAACUUUCUGGGCGACCUCGGACAAGUCACUCUCCCUCUCUGAACUUUAGUGUCCUCAUCUAUAAAGCGAGUGCACUGGUCUAAGACCCCAGCCAGGUCUUAGCUGCAGCCCUCGGAACCUUUAGUUGUGGCGUUCAAACUCCUGAUUGCGGCAUGUGGGAUCUAGUUCCCUGACCGGGAACCAAACCCCAGGCCUCCUGCAUUGGGAGGACAGAGUCUUAGCCUCCAGGCCCCCAUGGAAG
ensembl:lncRNA